AAAAACCAUAGAAGGAAAAGGGGAAAGACCAAUAUGUGACCUUCUUUGUGUGGAAUGAUGUAAAUGUAAUGGGGAUAUUAGGGUUAAAAAUUAGGGUAUGACAAUGACCAUAUAAAUACCCAUUGUAGUAGAUCUUAUUUCCACAUCUUUAAACUUCUUCAAAAAGUUAUUUCCCAUCCUUUUCUACCCAUCACAUGCAAAAAUUUCAUCAAAAACUUCUGCCCUAACCCAUAAAUCUUUCAUAAGACAAGGAUAGGUAGGAC
rnacentral:lncRNA from 1 species